GGAGAGGUGGCCGAGUGGUCGAAGGCGCCUGACUCGAAAUCAGGUAUACCGCAAGGUAUCCAGGGUUCGAAUCCCUGCCUCUCCGCCA
rnacentral:tRNA from 1 species